CAGCACAGUUUAUUGAAAAGAUUGAGUCAUAAUCGUAUAUAUAAUCUUUCACCUACAUUAGCAUUUGGUUAAACUACUACUUCCACAUUUUAAAUAUAAAAGCUUUUUUUUUGUUUUUUUGUUUUGUUUUUUUGUUUUUUUUUGCUUUUUAGGGCUACGCCUCUGUAGCUCCAAUUCAGCCCCUAGCCUGGGAACUUCCAUAUGCUGCAGGUGGGCUCCCACAAAGAAAAAUAUAUAUGUACAUCACACACACGCUUAGUGAACAUCUCUUAUACACAUAUAAACACAUAUAAACUAAAGGAUGUCCUGAGUCUCAGAUAUCCAUCUUUCAACAAACCUCUUUUCAUCUGUAUGUCUGUAGGUCAGUCUACUUAUAUACUUUUUAUUUUUAGCUCACUUGAAACAGAUUUUUUGUUGUUUUGGGUAAUUACAAAUCAGCACAGUUAAAUAAAGAUGUUACAGCAAAGUGAUCAUCGAACUAGAAAUAAAUAAAUGGGUGAAUAAAUAUAAGAGGAAGAGAUUUUAAUACAAGUAAAUGUGCUAAUUGGCACAUGCCUAAGGACAAGCUACUAAACAUUUGGCUUUUGAGUUUUUGAGUAAAUAAAGCUAAGAGGUCAAUGGAAUAUGUUAAAUCAGUACCCAUAAGAUGAAAACAGAUGGUUUAACUAGGAAAAACAAAUAAUACUUGGAAGAAUUUUAUUCAAUAAGCCCUCAUAAGCGGACAUUAGCUUAUGUUAAGAAAAAGGUUCUGUGAGUAUUCAGAGUGAAAUGUCAUGAGUCUCAUGAAGACAUAACGUUAAAAUAUCAAAUGUCUUGUCCCAUUAAUUCAUUUAUGGAGAGCCAGUAAGAUGUUAUGAUGGCUUCAAAGAUCUUUUGAAAAGCUAGGCAUUUACACCUGAUGUUAGGAUAAGAUUGCUCAGCUAGAAACAAAACUGGUUAAGAUCCAACAAGGCCCUACAGUGUAAUCUAUUUCUUCCAUUGGAAACAAAGUGUUUGCAUCUCUAUUAGAUAAAUUCUGCAAGUUAAUCAUAAAUUGAAGAGGUGAAAAAUAACCCAGGAGAUAGAAAAGUCAAGCCAGGUGCUACACUGAAAAUACAUCCAGUAAUCUCUUAAUAAAUUGUUAAGGCUCAGGAGAAUACCACUGAAAAAAAUGAAGAAUAAGAGGAAAGUGGAUGAAGAUGUGCUGAAAUCUGAAUAAACAAUAGCAAAAUAAAAACCAAUAUAAUAGUGAUGAAAGAAAAAACAACAAAAAUAUUUUCAAAAAAAUUUUAAAGUCUUUUAGCUGAAAACUGCUUUAUGUCUAAAGUUUUCUGUAUUUAAAUAUAGCCUAUUCACAUAUUCACUAUGCUGUGAAUUUUAUAGAGGAAUUUAUUUAAUUAAAAGCAGAUUCUCAUGCAUAAAAUCAUUUUCCUUAAGAAUGAGGAAAUACAUAUUUAAAAAUUCAGAGAGUUUUUUUUUUUUUUUUGAGGUAUUUAAAAUCCCUUAAGUCAUUUUGAAAAUUCUAAUGCCUAAUUAUGUCUGGCUUAUUAUUCUCAGAAUUCUUUAUCCCUAAUUGACCUCUACUCAAUAAAUAGGAUAGCGUUUCACAUGGAUAUAUUUGUGGUACAUAAUGCUCAUAGACACUCAAUGGGUGUUCUUUAUCAUUUGAGUAAUCCUAACUAUAAAACUCUCAUAUGAGCCUUGUUCCAUCCUGAUUUUUAAUAAAACUGCCUUUUGAGAGAAAUUAUUUCAUCUUAUUUCUGAAAUUGGUAAAUAUGUCAAUGAUGGUGACAGAUUAAAUCUGAGCUGAUGACCUUGAGCUAAAAGGUUUAACAUCUCAUUGUAAUUCAACCCCUGAGUCCACUUUCUUCCCAUUUGUGUUUUGUUAUUAUGUGCUCUUAUGUAAAGAUACAUUAGUGCUUUUAAGCACAUACUACCACUCUAGUCCCUCUCUUGUUUCCAGGCAGAUAUGUAUUAAAUAUUUAUCAUCAGAAUAAACAAAAACUACUCACAUAAUAGUGAUUCUCCUAAAGCGAAUCUUAUCAGAGAAGUAUACUUAACCAGCUGUCAGCACUCAGAGAUAAGUUUUUAUCUCCAGAUUUAAAAAAAAAAUUGUUAAUAUAGUAGAAUUUUGCCUUUUUUUUUUUUUUAUCUUUUAUCUUUUGUCCUUUUGGGGCUGCACCUGUGGCAGAUGGAGGUUCCCAGGCUAGGGGUUAAGGAAUAAGAUUUUAUCAUUCUUUAGCUAAUUUAGCAAUGAAAAUUAUGAAAAUGUGUGGUUUUGAAAGGAUAAAACCAGAGCAUGUAAAAUUUCCUUUUUGAAAGGAUCUGUCCAUUUGUUCAUCUAUUAUCCUUCUAUCAGUCAUCCAUCUUGGAAGUAUUUGCUGAAAUCUACCAUGUCUCAAAUACAGUUCUAGGCACAAGAAUGAAAGAAACCUCUGUUCGAAUAGGAACAUUACAUUUCCUAUACAUUUCAGUUUUGAUGGAUUAGAUAGAGUAGGCUUCUGUUCCUUUUAAUAUGUAGAAUGCCAUGUGACACACAGGGAUAUUGGACAUUCUGAAUUUAUUUAUCUUUUUAUCUUUGCCUUUUGUUUUUCUCUCUCCCUCUUCCUAAGUGACACCUCUUAUCUUUUUCAUCUGCCUUCUGUUUGUAUUACUCUUAACUUACCUCCUACUAGACUAAUGUAGUUUACUCUUCAUGUCCUCUAUCAAUAUAUAUUUUUUUUUUUUUUUUACUUUUGGCAAGUAUGUUUUUCUUGCCACAGUUUUCCUUAUUUUAAAUUCUUUUUUAUUCUAUUUUUAAUUUGUUUUACUGAAAGCAUAAAUACUCCCAUUAAAGUGCUUUCAUUUUAAAACUUGUAUGAAUGUAUAAUGAACACAUUUUUAAAAAUUUUCCUUUUAUACUUUUUUCACUUUUUUGCCUCUGUUUCCCUGGGUCUCUGUUUUUUAGUUAUUGAUUCUCUUUAUUUGUCAGAGACUUUAAUUUGUCAGUUGGCUUAAAUUUUUGUUGCCUACUUAUAUUUAUAUAUUAUAAUGUAUACUCUCUGGGGUUAGUAGCUGGUAUGGGCUCUUGACAGAAAAUAUUUUUGUCAUGAUUUGAUUUUCCUUAGUUUUGCUCACUUUUGCACUCCAGGCCGGGCCCAUUGUUGGAUUGUUGGGCACCUUCUGCAGGUCAGUAUAAAGCUGACUCUCCUCAAGUGGGAGGAGGAGGAGUGGCCUUAAAGAGAGCCUAUUCUUUGGCUCAGCUGGAGGCUUUAGGGUUUCAUAGGGAGGUAGAAGCUUCUGCAAUCCUCCUCUGACAGCAAGAAGGUGGUUAAUAACUUUGAAGUUUCUGGUGAGUAUCUUUCUAAGCAUAUUAAUUGGAGUAGAAGGCAACAGGCCUCCUUAGAGUGAAGAAGUGGAUGCAGAGAUUUCAGGCCUGGCAACAGAGCACUUUUCUUCAUAACUCUCUCAAUAGCAUCUCUUAAAUUUCAAGGUGCGGCUGCUACUUUGCUUUCCUAUUGGCCACACUGAGGAAAAUUAGAGUAAGGAUACAUUUAUAUGCUUAGGUCACCUUCUUACCUUACUUACUGUAGUUGCUAAUUUUCAGAGUUCUUUCAAACUUGAAAAAAGGAAAAAACUAUAAUAAAAAUACUAUACAUUUUUAGCUUUAAAAAAUAAGGGUAAACAAAUGGAGUGGUAAAGAGCAUUUGUCUAGAGGAGAACAUUUCUUAACACUAUCACAUUAAGGACAGAGAGAAAUUUUCUCCAGUUUAUGUACCGAUGUCAGAGAGCUAUGUGUUUCAGAACACUGAACUCAUGUGUCUUUGCAAUUGGUCUUGAAGGCGGGUCUUUUAAGUAUGAGAUAAAAUUCAUCAAUCAUUUUCAGUGCCAUAUUUCCCUGCUGAGAAUGUGCUAGCCAUAGAUAGUGGCAUUUGAUUGUUUUAUUUGAGAACGAAUAGGAUGAUUCUUCUACUUCUUCAAAGGAAAUAUUUUAAACAAUUUAUGUUAAAGCCCUUCUGCCCCUUAGAUUGAUAUACCUUAAUGUUGUUCCUCAAUGCAUAUGUACAUCAUUAAUAAACAUUAAUGAUAUUUCUAAAAGUUGAAUACUAUGUAUAUCCAAGAAAAGUAUGAAGACCAAAUUUAAUUGAUUUAAAAAUUGUACGCUAUAUUUUGCUUUAUUUUGUAGCAUUUGUGACAGGAGACCUAGGAUAAUAUAAGAAUUUAUGAAUCAUGUAAAUCUGAUCACAAAAAUUAGUUCAUGUAAUUUUUUCAGUUUUUAAUAAACUUUCAAUAAAACUAUUGAAGUAUAUUUGAUUUACAAUGUUGUAAUAGUUUUUGCUGCACAACAGAAUGAUUCGGUUACACAUGUAUACACAUCCAUUCUUUUUCAGAUUCUUUUCCCAUUUAGGUUAUCACAAAAUAUUGACUAGAGUUCCUUAUGCUAUGCAUCAGUUCUCCAUUCGCCAGUCAUUCCAUAUACCACAGUAUGCAUGCGUUAAUUCCAUACCCCCAGUCCAUCCCUCUACCGGACCUGUACUCUUUGGUUUCAAAAAUUUGUUUUCAAAAUCUGUGAGUCUAUUUCUGUUCUAUAAAUAAGUUCAUUUGUAUUCUUUUUUCCAGAAGUUUGUCUUUAAUAGUCUGACCAACAUAUGAUGUUUGUCUUUCAUACUCUGGCUAACUUCAUUUAGUAUGAUAAUCUCUAGGUCUAUCCAUGUUGCUACAAAUGGCAUUAUUUCAUUCUUUUUUAUGCCUGAGUAAUAUUCUGUUGUAUAUAUGUACCACAUCUUCAUCUAGUCCUCUGCUGAAAGGCAUUUAGGUUGCUCUCAAUGUCUUGGCUAUGGUAAAUAGUACUGCAAUGAACAUUGCAGUGUUCAUAUUUUUUCAAAUUACGGUUUUCUGCAGAUAGAUACCCAGAAGUGUGUAAUAUGGUAGUUCUAUUUUUAGUUUUUAAGGUACCUCUGUACUGUUCUCCAUAGUGGUUAUAUCAGCUUACAUUUUCACCAACAGUGUAAGUGUGUUCCCUUUUCUCCACACUCUCUCUAGCAUUUAUUGUUUAUAGACUUUUGGAUGAUGGACAAUCUCACAGGUGUAAGGUGAUACCUUAUUGUAGUUUUAAUUUAAUUUCUCUAAUACUUAGUGAUGAGCAUUU
rnacentral:lncRNA from 1 species